UACGGAGGGAGCUAGCGUUGUUCGGAAUUACUGGGCGUAAAGCGCACGUAGGCGGCCAUUCAAGUCAGGGGUGAAAUCCCGGGGCUCAACCCCGGAACUGCCCUUGAAACUGGAUAGCUAGAAUCCUGGAGAGGCGAGUGGAAUUCCGAGAGUAGAGGUGAAAUUCGUAGAUAUUCGGAAGAACACCAGUGGCGAAGGCGACUCGCUGGACAGGUAUUGACGCUGAGGUGCGAAAGCGUGGGGAGCAAACAGG
rnacentral:rRNA from 1 species